UUGGGAAUUUUGGACAAUGGGCGAAAGCCUGAUCCAGCCACGCCGCGUGAAUGAUGAAGGCCUUCGGGUCGUAAAGUUCUUUUGUAGGGGACAAAGGGAAACUUGAUGGUACCCUAAGAAAAAGCACCGGCUAACUCCGUGCCAGCAGCCGCGGUAAUACGGAGGGUGCAAGCGUUGCUCGGAAUUAUUGGGCGUAAAGCGUAUGUAGGCGGUUUUCUAAGUCUGAUGUGAAAUCCCGGGGCUUAACUCCGGAACUGCAUUGGAUACUGGAAAGCUAGAGGGCAGUAGAGGAUGGUGGAAUUCCUGGUGUAGGGGUGAAAUCCGUAGAGAUCAGGAGGAACAUCAGUGGCGAAGGCGGCCAUCUGGACUGUGCCUGACGCUGAGAUACGAAAGCAUGGGG
rnacentral:rRNA from 1 species